rnacentral:rRNA from 1 species
GGGGGUUGGCGGCAGCCUACACAUGCAGUCGAGCGGAACGAGUUAUCUGAACCUUCGGGGAACGAUAACGGCGUCGAGCGGCGGACGGGUGAGUAAUGCCUAGGAAAUUGCCCUGAUGUGGGGGAUAACCAUUGGAAACGAUGGCUAAUACCGCAUAAUGCCUACGGGCCAAAGAGGGGGACCUUCGGGCCUCUCGCGUCAGGAUAUGCCUAGGUGGGAUUAGCUAGUUGGUGAGGUAAUGGCUCACCAAGGCGACGAUCCCUAGCUGGUCUGAGAGGAUGAUCAGCCACACUGGAACUGAGACACGGUCCAGACUCCUACGGGAGGCAGCAGUGGGGAAUAUUGCACAAUGGGCGCAAGCCUGAUGCAGCCAUGCCGCGUGUGUGAAGAAGGCCUUCGGGUUGUAAAGCACUUUCAGUCGUGAGGAAGGUAGUGUAGUUAAUAGCUGCAUUAUUUGACGUUAGCGACAGAAGAAGCACCGGCUAACUCCGUGCCAGCAGCCGCGGUAAUACGGAGGGUGCGAGCGUUAAUCGGAAUUACUGGGCGUAAAGCGCAUGCAGGUGGUUUGUUAAGUCAGAUGUGAAAGCCCGGGGCUCAACCUCGGAAUAGCAUUUGAAACUGGCAGACUAGAGUACUGUAGAGGGGGGUAGAAUUUCAGGUGUAGCGGUGAAAUGCGUAGAGAUCUGAAGGAAUACCGGUGGCGAAGGCGGCCCCCUGGACAGAUACUGACACUCAGAUGCGAAAGCGUGGGGAGCAAACAGGAUUAGAUACCCUGGUAGUCCACGCCGUAAACGAUGUCUACUUGGAGGUUGUGGCCUUGAGCCGUGGCUUUCGGAGCUAACGCGUUAAGUAGACCGCCUGGGGAGUACGGUCGCAAGAUUAAAACUCAAAUGAAUUGACGGGGGCCCGCACAAGCGGUGGAGCAUGUGGUUUAAUUCGAUGCAACGCGAAGAACCUUACCUACUCUUGACAUCCAGAGAACUUUCCAGAGAUGGAUUGGU